rnacentral:rRNA from 1 species
UACGUAGGAGGCGAGCGUUGUCCGGAGUUACUGGGCGUAAAGAGCGUGUAGGCGGCCAUUCAGGUCAGCUGUGAAAACUCGAGGCUCAACCUCGAGACGUCGGUUGAAACCGUUUGGCUAGAGUCCGGAAGAGGAGAGUGGAAUUCCCGGUGUAGCGGUGAAAUGCGCAGAUAUCGGGAAGAACACCCGUGGCGAAGGCGGCUCUCUGGGACGGUACUGACGCUGAGACGCGAAAGCGUGGGGAGCGAACAGG